rnacentral:rRNA from 1 species
GACGAACGCUGGCGGCGUGCCUAAUACAUGCAAGUAGAACGCUGAAGGAGGAGCUUGCUUCUCUGGAUGAGUUGCGAACGGGUGAGUAACGCGUAGGUAACCUGCCUGGUAGCGGGGGAUAACUAUUGGAAACGAUAGCUAAUACCGCAUAAUAGUAGAUGUUGCAUGACAUUUGCUUAAAAGGUGCAAUUGCAUCACUACCAGAUGGACCUGCGUUGUAUUAGCUAGUUGGUGGGGUAACGGCUCACCAAGGCGACGUUACAUAGCCGACCUGAGAGGGUGAUCGGCCACACUGGGACUGAGACACGGCCCAGACUCCUACGGGAGGCAGCAGUAGGGAAUCUUCGGCAAUGGACGGAAGUCUGACCGAGCAACGCCGCGUGAGUGAAGAAGGUUUUCGGAUCGUAAAGCUCUGUUGUAAGAGAAGAACGAGUGUGAGAGUGGAAAGUUCACACUGUGACGGUAACUUACCAGAAAGGGACGGCUAACUACGUG